rnacentral:rRNA from 1 species
UCCCGGAACGAAGGAAGGGCUUCCCGCAACAGGGGCCGCCGGACCGGCAGCUUUGGUCAGGACAGAUGCAUUUGUCUCCCUCUCCUAGGACGCCGCAGCCCGCGGGGAAGUGCAAACGUGACGGCCUUGAGGUCGGGAGAUGGCAGGUGGCCGCUGUUCAGCUCAAGCUGAACGGCGGUUGUUAGCCGUCCCGUCAGUGGCUCGUCUCCCCGCGGAGGUACCUGUCGUCUUACGAGGCGACGGACGUCUCCUCCUCCAUGGAAGUCUGGACGUGCAGUGGCGAGCAAAGGCAACCGCGCGGCCGCACUACGCCGUAGUGGGCCAGCGUCAGGUCGGUGCCGUCGGCCGCUGAGGACCAGUCGGAGGUUGGAGGCUAGCGGCGAGUAGGUCGGUCACCCACCCGACCCGUCUUGAAACACGGACCAAGGAGUCUAACAUGUGCGCGAGUCAAUGGGUCUUGAACAAGCCCAGAGGCGCAAUGAAAGUAAAGGCGAGGCACCAGCCCGCCGAGUCGGGAUCCGCAGCU